CCCUCCGGGCGGGGCCCGGCAGACGCCCCCGCCCCGCCCCGCCCCGCCGCGCCCCGCAGGAGCCGCCUCCUCCCGCCCGCCGGCACGGCGCCUGUCCCCUGGUCCCGGCGCCCCAUCUCGGGGCCGCCGAAGGGUCUGGGGGCUCCGGCGGGGGGGGAGGCGCGAUCCGAGUCCGUGGGAGCCUCCCCAGCCCCGCAGUCCCAGCAGCAAACCAAGCUUGGCCGGACGGAUGCUCGCGCCGAGAAAGAAGAAUCACUCACACGGCUCAAAAUUCAAAAGGAACAAAACGCACACCGUCACUACACAAUUCAAGUUCUGUUUCUACAACUUCACUGUCACCGACUUGGGGCUUGGAGACACAAAUGGCGCCUGAAGCCGCUUGGUUGGUUCCACCCCCACCCCCAACAGGUGCAGAGGCCAAACGUGGAGUUAGCAGUUGUCGGAAUUACGUCCGUGUAGAACACAGGGCUAAUUAAAGAUCGUCCCUGAGCUAACAUCUGUGCCAAUCUUCCUCUAUUUUGUAUGUGGGUCGCCG